GCUGCUUAGCAAUCAUUUGCAAGUAUAGAGACCACACAACCCAGAUGGGCAUUUCCACUGGGAGCAUGAUGACAUGCAUGAUGAUGAUGGGAUGACCACGAUGACGUGAAGAUGACAAUAUCAUGAUGAAAUGGCAAUAAAGGCAUGGCGACACUGGAAUCACUACGACAAAAUGACCACGAUGGAACCACCACAACAACAUGAUGACAACACUAGAGUGACGACGGUGCGAAGACCAUGGGAUGAUGACGCUAUAGUGUGGUGGAGAUGAUGUGACAAUGGCUGCAUGACGACCACAGGAUGACGACGAUGGUGGAACGAAGCUGGAGUGGCGACAAUGUGUUGACGAAUAUGUGGUGGCUAUGGGAUGACGACGAUGGUAUGAUGACAACAUGAGGCCGAUGCUGGAAAAAUGCCGCUGGUGUGACAAAGCGAAUCACGGAUCUGGAACUUCUAUGACGACAUGAUGAUGACUGUAUGAUGACGACGGCAUGAUGAUAAGAGCAUUACAACAAUGGGAUGAUGACUGUAGAAUCACUAUGGCAGAAUGACCAUGACAGCGACCCGGUGGUGAUGAUGGAUUGAUGACAACAGACCGAUUACGACAUGUCGAUGACUGCGCGAAGACGGCAGUGUGAUGACAACGACAUGACAACACAGUGAUAGCGACAGAGUGAAAUUAGCGGAAAGAUGACAAUGACAUCACAACGAACAAAUGAUCAAAAUGGGAUGAAAUCGGUGAAAUGACGACGACAGUGUGUUGGUUGUUGAGCUGACAUCCACACUUACCUGCAUCACUUGCUGCUGUGGGCCACCUUAAUUAACAUUAUAUCCGGUGUUUGCACCACGUCUGGUACUGUGGGCUGCCUUAUUUUGCACUAUAUCCAAUGAUUGUUUGCACUAUAUGUCUAGUACCGGCCAAUUGUGCAAGACUGUAGCCAGCAGCCAGCAGGGAUGACAAGGGUAUAUAGCGUGACGACAUUACUUUUUGUAUGACUCACUCAUUCGGCAAGACAGCAGCAGGAAAGUCGAUGGCCCUCUAGACAUGGGGAAGGAAAGGAAACAUCUGAGCCAGCAGCCCUGCUACGAAGGAUAAUCUCUGUCAUAUCACUGACAAGCAGCACUGAAACGUCAUGAGGCAUAGCCAUCAUGGAUAUCGAGCGAGGUGCCCAAGCCUAUUGCAACACUUUUCUGCUGUUGAAUGGCUGAGAUGCGGUUUCCGUGCAAGCUGUGACCAUCUAAAUUCUGCAAGUUUGGACAGACGCAAGCAGUUACACACAAGAGGAGUGGACCUCUGCCACUGCCCUGAGUGCGACAAGACCUUCGAACAGAUGAAGAUGCUGCAGCAGCACCUGAAGUAGCACAAAUGGGGCAAGCCAUUCCCGUGCCACCUGUGCCCAGCCAGAUUCACAAAAUAAGUCAAUCGGGAUGAUCAUGUGCACGUGCACAUGGAUGAAAAGCCACACAAGUGUCCCAUGUGCGAGACAUGCUUUGCUUGGCAGACUGGCAUGAAAGUGCUCAUGCGCAGCAGUCCCACUUGUGUCAAGACCACCAAGGCGAGUGUUAACAGCCCUCCGACCAUGCUGCCUCCUGUGGAAUUGUGUGAUUUUACUUUAUGUUUCUUUACACUAUCAGCUAACUAGACAGGGAAUCGUGACCUUGUGUUUCAGGUCAGCAUUGUUCAAGUCACGUUCAGACUAGGCAACUAGAAGUUUAAAAAAUGUGGUAUACAAAGGUUACAGAAUGCGGGUCUCGAAGAACAUCACAAUAUGGCUGCAUAAUAAGCGUUCUCUUUGAGUGUACAUUUGUAUCCAUGACACCAUGCAUGUUCAAUUUGUAGGCAAAUGUUCUUUGAAAUUUAUAGUGCCUAGUUAAUUUACAGCAUACAUAUGCACACUGUCCACACACUAUGCAGCAAAUAAGAAGGCAUGUAUGAUGGGUGAGCAGUUUAAGCAGUGGUUGAGAAAGCUAGAUUGAAAGUUGGAACUGGCCAACAGACAUGUUCUCCUCAUCAUUGAUAACUGCUUGGCACACAAGGUAGACGAGUUGGAAGCCAUUGAGCUCAUUUACCUUCUUGCAAAUACGACUGCGGCAUUCCAGCCCAUGGACCAAGGCACGAUAACAAAUAUGAAUUUUUAUAGAGUCCACAUUCUUGAGAGGAUGAUCCUGUGCGCCAACAAUGAGAACACUUAUAGCAUAUUUGUGUGUAUGGUUCGAGGUAAAUGGUUUAUUCCCAACUCGGCUAAGAAGUAAAAGAAGGCACUUUUUCAGGUUGUGACGACUGUUGUCAUCAAAGAGGAGAUUAUGCUGCCAAUUAAAUAGCCCUCUGCCUAUGUUGCCUUGUGUAAGUGAAGCGCAAUGUGCAAUUGUGCAAUUUUACGUUUUUCUUUACAUUCCAAGGUAACUUAAAGUGCAAUUUUGAGCUCUUGCUACAAGUUAGCAUUAUUUGUCAUGCUCACAAUACAUAACAUGGAAGUUCGGAAAAUCUGAUCUAUAGGUAACAGCACGCGAGUUCUCGUGACCCAUGCUGAAGGCUACUGCAGAAUGGCUGUUAAGUGUGCUGCGAAAAGAGUAUGCUAAAGAUGCUGUGGUUUGGAGUUUAGGCUUUUUCUUUUUUGUCUGUACAUUUCCAAGAAAACUUGUUAGUUCCAGCACAGCUGUAUAAUGGGACAAGAUAACAGCAUAAAACUGGAUGGCAUCUAACAGAUAACUUAACUGGUUCCCACAGGUAUGCUUAACCAAAAGAGGACAAAAUAUAGUGCUAUUUUCUGAGUGUGUGUAUGUGUGGGGUUCAAAGUAGCUGGUUCGUUUUCCAGCUCACUCGAGCUACACUUGAGCAACUGUAAUGCAUUGGCGUUGGCAAAUCCCCAUAUUAGUCGAUUGUUUGCCGACCUCUGCAUGAAACUUCUCCUUCUAUUGAUGACUUAUUGUGAACUUUGUUCCUCUGUUUCAUAAAAGCCAUUCUACACACUCUUUCAGCAAGGGCAGCUCAUGUGCUGCGUUGCCGGUGCAUCUGUUCCGCUGCCACUGCUCCAUAAUCUGCUCCGUUCCCUUUCCUCUCUGGAGCUGACUUCACCCCAUCACAUGACCUCUGACAACACUCCUCCUCCUCCCUUGCUGGCAGCCCACCUCCUUGCCCUCUGUUCUGUCAACGAAUUGAAUUUUGGGCUUGUUGCAUGAUCUGCACAGUGCCAAUGCAUUAAAACAAAGCAGAGCUCACAAUAUUUUGAACAGGCUUACGCUGGUGUAUUUACGUUUUGAGAGUCACAUUUCUUCUAGAAAUGCGUUCUCCCAGAGUCACAUUUCUUUAUCGCAGACUUGAAGCUUUUAACUCCCAAGUUUUUUUGCAAAAAUGUAUACACAAUUUACCAUUUCUUUAUUCCAGCAAAUUGUGGCAUGGUAUAUCCAGAUUCAAAAAAUAUAUUACGUGUGCAGUUUAUCGCAUAAAUUCAUCCGAAAUAUGAAUGAACAAUAUCUCCUCUGACCAAGAGAUUUCCCUCAGCACAGCUGUAAGGUUCCAACGUAAUUAUUUGAACAGAUAAUAAUUAAAUGGAUUGAAAGCACUGAAAAAAAAAAUUUUCAGUGUUGAAAUUCUAAUGCAUGCCGUGAACGAAGUUAAAGAGCGCGACUCAUCUCCGACAAACAAAGCGGAAGAAACUUUAUCAUGGAUGAGUACGGCUCGUCUUCGGUGAUAUAUGUAUAAACAACUAAGACGAGUGUAACUCAGGCUAGUGGCUAAAGGGUUAAAUUCCUCACAGCAACUUAUUUCAAGAAAAAGCAAGCAAUUAAUUUUUAAGUGACAAUAAAAUAAGAAAUGUUUUUUAACAUGUGCAGUUUUAUGUGUUUUUUUGUUGAAUAAAGUUUCUUGUCUGUCUGUUGAGUACGUGUAUAAAGUAGCAUAAUUAAUUUUUUACAGAUCUAUUAAAAUUCACACAGCUUAAUUUUAUCAUUUAAAUUGGUUUGAUGCAACCAGGAAUCGUAUUUUGAAAUAUUCCAUUUGGGUUCUCACAUUUAUAAUGUGCCUCAUCGAGGGUGCAAUCCUCGUUAAACAUAGCUACCAGUGUUACUGCGGACAGAUUGGGGACCCCAUUGAGCACUUAUGAGAAAUGUAUGGCUGCCCAUCUUGUAGCUUGCUAUUGCCUAUAUUAAGUUUUUAUUCUUUUGUUAUAUCUGAAACAGCAUUUCGCUGGUUGUGUCAUGUGUGAUGAUGUGCGGUCCCAUAUGGUUGACUGGCUCAGAACAGAUGCAGGCAGCUUAUUAUCUGAAAAAAACUUCACUGGCUUAUACAAUGGUGACCAGUGGUGCCACUGAUGAGUGCAGUUGGGAAGUUUCUGCAACAAAUAUCAGUGUAAAAUCACCUGUUAAAAGCAAUAUAUUGGCAAGGGCGAGUGUGAGGUUCCCAGUGCAAUCUUUAAUUUUGGGACUCUCUCUAGAUGCAUAAUAUACUAUCUGUACUUUUCCUUCUGAAAAAAUGAAAUGAUUGUUGAUUCUUGAAAAAAAAAUUAAGUAGUAUCAUCGGCAGGUGCACUC